CUAAAGCUAUCCAAUUUCAACAGUUAAAAUAAGUAAUACCUAUCUUAGUAAUACAUAUUAAAACCAUCAAAAAUAAUUAAGCGGCCUUAUUACAUUUAAAAAACCCAAAACUUCAAACGUAAAUAAAAGGAUGUCCAGUUCACCAGAAGAAAACCAAACUUUCAGAACGGGUGGCCACUCCGAAUUCCCUCACAGCUCCAAGCCCACUAUGGUUGGGGAUUCCUGCGUGGAUGAAAAUAAAAUGGGUGAGUUUGGGGAAGCUCAGUGUGUAAGGAAAACCCAUUCAAAGCCCAAGUCAACUCGAGCCUAUUGGGCCUAAGCCCAUUCAGGUAACAGUGGUACUAGACCAGAGCCCUUUUCAGAUUACAAUAAACUGGGCCUUAGCCCCUUAUUCAGAUAACAGUAUGGUCAUAAGCCCAUUUCAAAAUACAUGCAACAUCAAUAACAUAUGCAAGCCCAUUUGGGGAGUCUACUCAACCCACCAACCACUACACUCCACCCGUACCAGCCAUACACUCCAUGUGGGGAAUAGCUCAACCCACCUAACCCAACACUCCACAGUUGCAGCCUUGCUGCUCAGUUAGCAGUAAAUUGAGGCAAAGCCUCCAGUACGUGGACAAGCCACUUUCAGUACUUCCUCCGUCAAUAUCCCAAUCCCAUGCAUCAGAUAAUAACAACAUGGCAUGCAGUAAAUAACAACAGUCAAACAUGCAUUUAGGUCAAUUUAACCCUAGGGGUAUUUCGGUAAUUUAUCUACUAGGGGUAAAACUGUAAAUUUUUCACUUUUAAAGGUAUUUCAGUAAUUUAUCUAUUUUAGGGUUUUUCAUGCAUAUUCCUACUUUUCACGUACUAACAGAAUCACGUACCGAGUGUUCUUACCGAAUUGGGCCUGUUGGCCCAUCAUUCCAAUUUUCGCCCAUUAAGCCCAAAAAUAUCGAGGGCACAGAAAUCAUGCACUUCACAGUCCAAAUUUUGUAGCUUACCAAAAACAUUAAUCGAUUUACCUCACGAGCAUUCGCACACUCGCAAAUCUACAAAAUACCGAUUUUCGGCAUUUCAGCUUUUCAACUUUUACCGAUCCAGACUAAGAAAGAGGAUGUUAGUUACAUACUUGUUUGCGACGAUAUGCUGACGAGAUCUACACACGAACCGCCUACAAUUGGAUUACUAACACGUUAAUCUAACUAUUCAAAUACAAACUACGUAUUAACCCCUUACAAUAUUCGGCCAACCACACCUACAGAUCAUAGUAAGCUUAUAAGAAAUCAAUAAGCAACUCAUUAAAAUUUUUUUGUCAAUGUUAACCACAUAAUCAUAAUUUCACUGCAAGCUGUCUUCCUGAGAAACAGUCACUAAAUCAUUUAUAACUGGUGCUACAAAACUCCAAAUCAAGUGCCGUUAAUUUUCCCUGAAAAUAGACUCAUAUAUCUUAUAUCCAUAAAAUUUUCAGAUUUUUUGGUUUGGCCAAUUAAUACCAGAUAUUUCUCAAAGUUUCGCAUGUUUCACUGUUUGACUAAUCUGACCACUCUUCAUUACGAAUCAAAUUUCUCAUUGUACAGAAUUCAAAAUAUGUUCUCGUUUAUUUCAUUUGAAACUAGAUGCAACAAGCUUUAAUUACAUAAUUUAUUCAGCUUCUAAUUCAUCUCCCACAAUUUAUGGUGAUUUUCCAAAGUCACAUUACUGCUGCUGUCCCAAGCAGAUUUAUUACUAAAUUCACUCUUUCACACAUAACUUGCAUGCAUGUUAUUUAAACAUGUAUAUCACCAAUCAAUCAUCACAUAUCUAUGAUUUUACUUAAGUAUAAUCUCCAUUUCAUCAUUUUAAAGCACAACAUGUUAGCCGAUAUUUCCCCUUAGCAUCUAAGGCACAUACAUGCUCAUUUGUUUGGCUCAACUUCACCUAUCUUCCAUUUUUCAUCAAAAGAACAUGAAACAACAACCAUUUCCUUCGUUUUAAUUCAUGACUAAAUGCUCACAACACAACUAAAAACCAAAAUAUGCUUCAAGAGUUAAGGUAGAAUCAAGAAGAACUCAUGAACCUCAAAAUAAAAACAAACUACCAUGAACUUACCUUCAAUUUUUCUUCCCCAAGUGACCGAACAUUCAAGAGCUUUCUCCUCUCCUUUCUCGUCUCUAACUUUAGGCUAUGAUGAACAAAGAUGGACAAAACUUUGUUCUUUUCACCCCUUUUUCUUUUAAUAAAAUUUCAUAUUUCAUCCAUUUAAUUCUUUAAUACAAAAGACAUGAAAUUCCCAUCAUGGAACAUUUACCUAACCCAUUAUCAAUUUGUACCAUGAAUUAUGGAUAUCAAUUGCUCAUAUUGUCUACAACAACAUGAUGGCUGGCCACUUCAUGUAAAAUGGGAGGUUUGUCAUGCAAAUCCUCCUAUUUUGUACUCCUAUUUAUUUGGCCACUUCAAUUUAGCCUAUAGCAUUUUCAAACAUUUUCACAUAGAUCAUAUUUCAUAAUUUCACUCACAAAUGACAAAAUUAAAGCAUGAAAUUUUGCCAACAUUCACAGAAUUCCCGAAAAUUGGGACGUUACAACUCUACCCCCUUAAAGAAAUUUCAGCCUCGAAAUUUACCUGAUCCAAAUAGUUGAGGGUAUUGUUGACACAUAGUCUUUUCUGAUUCCCAAGUAGCUUCUUCCCUUCCAUGAUUAUGCCACAGUACUUUUACCAACAGAACCGACUUCCUUCUUAGAACUUUAACCUCUCGAUCUAAAAUUUGUAUGGGUUUUUCCUCAAAGGUCAAAUCAAUCCUUACUUCAAUCUCCUCCACUGGCACAACAUGUGAGGGAUCCGAUUGAUAUCGUCUUAACAUAGACACAUGAAAGACGUUAUGGAUUCUGUCUAACUCUGGUGGUAACUCUAACUGAUACGCUACUGGCCCUAGCCGCCUAAAAACCCGAUAAGGCCCUAUAAACCGCGGACUCAAUUUACCUUUCUUGCCGAAUCUCAAGAUCUUCUUCCAAGGUGAAACCUUUAAGAAAACCAUAUCCCAAACCGCGAACUCUAUCUCUUUGCGCUUUAGGUCCGCAUACGACUUCUGUCUAUCAGAUGCCUCUUUUAAUCGAUCUCUUAUCAACUUAACCUUACUUUCAGUAUCUGCCACCAACUCCGGUCCAAGCACUUGUCGUUCACCUAACUCUGUCCAACACGUAGGCGUACGACAUCUCCGCCCAUAAAGUGCCUCAUAUGGAGCCAUCUGAAUACUUGCUUGGUAGCUGUUAUUGUAUGCAAAUUCUGCCAACGGCAAGUAAUCCUCCCAACUACCUCAAAAAUCAAUCACGCAUCCCCCCAACAUGUCCUCCAGAAUCUGAAUAACCCUUUCCGAUUGACCAUCAGUCUGGGGAUAGAAAACCGUACUAAAAUUCAAUCGCGUCCCUAAUGCCUCAAGCAACUUUUGCCAAAACCGAAAUGUAAAUAUGAGAUCCCGAUCAGAAAUAAUUGAAACUGGGACUCCAUGAAGUCGCACAAUCUCCGCCACAUACAACUUGGCUAACUUUUGAAGUGAAAAGUCAGUACAAACAGGUAUAAAAUGGGCCGAUUUGGUCAACCUAUCCACAAUCACCCACACCAAGUCUUUCUUCGAUGGUGUCAAGGGCAGCUCACUCACAAAGUCCAUGGUUACCCUCUCCCACUUCCAAAGUGGUAUCUUCAUUGGCUGCAACAGUCCAGAAGGUAAUCGUUGCUCAGCUUUCACUUGCUGGCAUGUCAGACAUUUCCCUACAAACUCCGUUACUUCUCGUUUAAGUCCAGGCCACCAGUACAAUUCUCGUAAGUCAUGAUACAACUUGUUCCCUCCAGGAUGCAUGGCACAAAGUCCUCCAUGAGCUUCCUUCAAUAUUUUCUACCUCAAAUCAAAGUCCUUCGGAACACAAAUUCUUCCUCGAAAACACAGAACUCUUUCGCCAUUUAACCCAAACUCAGAAGUUUCCCUUUCCUUAACUUGUUGGAAACGAGCGACCAAAGACUCAUCAUUCAACUACUUUUCCUUAAUCUGAUCCACCCAGGUUGGCCUCACUUGUAACUCAGCCAACAGACUUCCAUCAUCAUAUAGACUCAGACGAGCAAACAUUACUCUUAGAUCAGAUACAACUCUAUGACUUAGAGCAUCGGCUACCACAUUAGCCUUGCCUGGGUGAUACUCGAUCGAACAGUCAUAAUCCUUAAGUAACUGAAUCCAUCUUCUUUGCCUAAGGUUCAGCUCCUUUUGAGUCAACAAAUACUUAAGACUCUUAUGGUCAGUGUAUAUAAUACACCUUUCUCCGUACAAGUAAUGUCUCCAAAUCUUAAGUGCAAAUAUCACUGCUGCCAACUCUAAAUCAUGAGUUGGAUAGUUCCCCUAAUGAGGCUUAAGCUGUCGUGAUGCAUAUGCAACCACCUUACCCUCUUGCAUUAACACGCAGCCCAAACCCACGUGUGAUGCGUCACUAUACACACUAAAAUCCUGCCAAGACUCCGGCUGAAUCAACACAGGUGCUUUAGUCAAAACUUUCUUCAACUUCUCAAAAGCUUCCUGCUGCUUCUCAGUCCAUACAAACGGUAUUCCUUUCCUUAUGAGUUUUGUCAGAGGUGCUGCCAUCACAGAAAAACCUUCUACAAACCUUCUGUAGUAUCCUGCCAACCCUAGGAAACUUCGAAUUUCUGACACCGUCCUAGGUGGCUUCCACUUCAAAAUUGCUUCAAUCUUUCGAAGGUCCACAUUAAUCCCUUCGGCAGAGACCACAUGUCCUAAGAAGGUUACCUCCCUCAACCAAAAUUCACACUUGCUGAACUUCGCGAAGAGUUUCUUCUCUCUUAACACUCGCAGCACUAUACGGAGAUGCUCAUCAUGUUUCGUUUCAGUUUCAGAAUAUACCAGGAUAUCGUCAAUAAAGACGACUACGAACUGAUCUAAAAAUGGUUGAAACACACGAUUCAUCAGAUCCAUAAAUGCUGCAGGAGCGUUCGUCAGUCUAAAUGGCAUAACCAGAAACUCGUAAUGACCAUACCGAGUCCUGAAUGUUGUCUUAUGGAUAUUUGCCUCCUUAACCCUUAACUGAUGAUAUCUAGAUCAAAGGUAGAUCUUGGAAAAUACAGAAGCUCCUCUAAGCUGGUCGAACAGAUCAUCAAUCCUUGGCAGUGGAUACUUAUUCUUAAUCGUCAAUUUGUUCAAUUAGCAAUAAUCAAUGCACAUCCGCAUCAUACCAUCCUUCUUUUUCACGAAUAGCACCGGUGCUCCCCAUGGAGACACGCUUGGCCUAAUGAAGCCCUUAUCCAACAACUCUUGAAUUUGUGCCUUUAGCUCCACCAACUCCUUCGGUGCCAUUCUAUACGGUGCGAUAGACACUGGUAUCGUUCCAGGCAAUAAGUCGAUUCCAAACUCCACUUCUCGGUUCGGAGGCAAUCCUGGAAGCUCCUCCGGAAAAACAUCUUGGAACUCCUUUAUAGUCCUAACCUUAUCCACUGUCAAUCCCUCCUUUUCCGACUGACUUACAAAUGCCAAAUAGGCCUCACAACCUUUCUGAAUCCACUUCUCGCUCUUAAUGCUGACACCACAUUGGACAAAUAAUCCCUCCGCUCACCUAUCACCAUAACCUCCUCAUCCUUUGUGGUCCUUAACACCAUUCGUUUAGCAGCACAAUUCGGGGUCGCUUUAUGCUUAACAAGCCAGUCCAUUCCCAAAAUGAGAUCAAACUCUCCGAACGGUAACUCCAUCAGAUCUCCAGGGAAAAUCCUACCUUGAGUUUCUAAGGGUACAUCCCUAUACAGUUUGUCUACCCUAACCGAGUGACCCAAAGGACUUAGUACAGAUACCCCACUCACAAUCUCCUCAGAGCAGUCCAAGUUGUCCGUAAUCCGUUCUGUGGCCUCCAAUCAAUAUCCUGCCGCAUUCGAGGUGAUACCAGACACACCCCUAAAGAUCUCCGCUCCGUUGGCCCGAAGUCGUUCAGAAAUAGAUCCCCAAACUCUAUUGCCCACACUUGCCCCGGUAACCCUUUCCAGAACACGAAGCAUUGCCUAUGACAGGGCAUCAUCCCCGACACCGUGGUCAUGAAACACUACCUCUGUUGUCAGUGGUACCGGUGCAUCCACCGCCGGCAUAUAUCUCGAAGACGAAGAUCUCGCUCGAACACUUCCUCGGCUCCGUCCACGGCCUCUUGUACUCAUAUCGUAUUAUCUUGAUUACGAAUUUUUAUGCAUCAAUUAAUAGUUCAGAGUUUAUUUUCGCAGAAUCGAAGUCUAGCUACAAUUUUAGUAUCUUAUCAAAUUUUCCUAUGGUUUCAGUAUCAUCCUAUCUAGAGUAUUCUAGCAGAAUUUCAGUACAGACAGAUAAGUCAGAAAAAUAUUCAGAAGAGUUUAGAGUAAUAAUUACAGGCAUGGGCCGGAGAUUCGAAAUACCACAUUCUAAAGAUCUAAAUUUUGAAAAUCGCGUUUUUCGCAAUCUUUAUAAUUUUUUUUUGAAAAUCUUUGGUUUUUGUAAAUCCAUUCUACAGCCGAGUUGUUGCAACCUAGGCUUUAAUACCACUAAAUGUAGCACCCCAAACUCGGCCCAAACAUUAUGACCGGAUCCGACAUGCCACAUCGAAGCGUUCAAAACAUUUUAUAUUGUUGAUCCAGAAAAACUUACUUAGUGUUUUAAAAAAUAAUUUCAUUAUAGGUUAAAGUGAAUGGAAGCUGUGCACCAGAUAGGAAACCGAAAAAGAAGUGAGUCCAUCGGACUGCUUAAGUACCAAGCUCCCUUCGGAUCCAAUCCUAGAAAUGCAUACCGACAUUGCCACACCUUAAUGUCAUGAAUAUUUCUAGGAAACCGAUUUUGAUUAAGUCAUUUUUAGAAAAAGUUAAUAAUUUUGGAAAAUACUUUCAUUGCGGAAGCUUUGCUUGUUGUCGUAUUAUUUUAAAAUCAAUUGUAUUUUUUGAAAACGCUCCCUAAAGCUAUCCAAUUUCAACAGUUAAAAUAAGUAAUACCUAUCUUAGUAAUACAUAUUAAAACUAUCAAAAAUAAUUAAGCGACCUUAUUACAUUUAAAAAACCCAAAACUUCAAACGUAAAUAAAAGGAUGUCCAGUUCACCAGAAGAAAACCAAACUUUCAGAACGGGUGGCCACUUCGAAUUCCCUCACAGCUUCAAGCCCACUAUAGUUAAGGAUUUCCUGCGUGGAUGAAAAUAAAAGGGGUGAGUUUAAGAAAACUCAGUGUGUAAAGAAAACCUAUUCAAAGCCCAAGUCAGCUCAAGCCUAUUGGGCCUAAGCCCAUUUAGGUAACAGUGGUACUGGACCAGAGCCCUUUUCAGAUUACAAUAAACUGGGCCUUAGCCCCUUAUUCAGAUAACAGUAUGGCCCAUAGGCCCAUUUCAAAAUACAUGUAACAUCAAUAACAUAUGCAAGCCCAUUUGGGGAGACUACUCAACCCACCAACCACUACACUCCACCCGUACCAGCCAUACACUCCAUGUGGGGAAUAGCUCAACCCACCUAACCCAACACUCCACAGUUGCAGCCUUGCUGCUCAGUUAGCAGUAAAUUGAGGCAAAGCCUCCAGUACGUGGACAAGCCACUUUCAGUACUUCCUCCGUCAAUAUCUCAAUCCCAUGCAUCAGAUAAUAACAUGGCAUGCAGUAAAUAACAACAGCCAAACAUGCAUUUAGGUCAAUUUAACCCUAGGGGUAUUUCGGUAAUUUAUCUACUAGGGGUAAAACUGUAAAUUUUCCAUUUUUAAAGGUAUUUUAGUAAUUUAUCUAUUUUAGAGUUUUUCAUGCAUAUUCCUACUUUUCACGUACUAACAGAAUCACGUACCGAGUGUUCUUACCGAAUUGGGCCUGUUGGCCCAUCAUUUCAAUUUUGGCCCAUUAAGCCCAGAAAUAUCGAGGGCACAGAAAUAAUACAUUUCACAGUCCAAAUUUUGUAGCUUACCAAAAACAUUAAUCGAUUUACCUCACGAGCAUUUGCAUACUCGUAAAUUUACAAAAUACUAGUUUUCAGCAUUUUGAUUUGUCAACUUUUGUCGAUCCAGACUAAGAAAGAGGGUGUUAGUUACAUACUUGUUUGCGACGAUAUGCUGAUGAGAUCUACACACGAACCGCCUACAAUUGGAUUACUAACACGUUAAUCUAACUAUUCAAAUACAAACUACGUAUUAACCCCUUACAAUAUUCGGCCAACCACACCUACAGAUCAUAGUAAGCUUAUAAGAAAUCAAUAAGCAACUCAUUAACAAAUUUUUGUCAAUGUUAACCACAUAAUCAUAAUUUCACUGCAAGCUGUCUUCUUGAGAAAUAGUCACUAAAUCAUUUAUAACUGGUGCUACAAAACUCCAAAUCAAGUGCCGUUAAUUUUCCCUGAAAAUACUCAUAUAUCUUAUAUCCAUAAAAUUUUCAGAAUUUUUGGUUUGAUCAAUCAAUACCAGAUAUUUCUCAAAGUUUCGCAUGUUUCACUGUUUGACUAAUCUGACCACUCUUCAUUACGAAUCAAAUUUUUCAUUGUACAGAAUUCAAAAUAUGUUCUCGUUUAUUUCAUUUGAAACUAGAUGCAAUAAGCUUUAAUUACAUAAUUUAUUCAGCUUCUAAUUCAUCUCCCACAAUUUAUGGUGAUUUUCCAAAGUCACGUUACUGCUACUGUCCCAAGCAGAUUUAUUACCAAAUUCACUCUUUCACACAUAACAUGUAUAUCACCAAUCAAUCAUCACAUAUCUAUGAUUUUACUUAAGUAUAAUCUCAAUUUCAUCAUUUUAAAGCACAUGUUAGCCGAUAUUUCCCCUUAGCAUCUAAGGCACAUACAUGCUCAUUUGUUUGGCUCAACUUCACCUAUCUUUCAUUUUUUAUCAAAAGAACAUGAAACAACAACCAUUUCCUUCGUUUUAAUUCAUGACUAAAUGCUCACAAUACAACUAAAAACUAAAAUAUGCUUCAAGAGUUAAGGUAGAAUCAAGAACUCAUGAACCUCAAAAUAAAAAUAAACUACCAUGAACUUACCUUCAAUUUUUCUUCCCCAAGUGACCGAACAUUCAAGAGCUUUCUCUUCUCCUUUCUCUUCUCCAACUUUAGGCUAUAAUGAACAAAGAUGGACAAAACUUUAUUCUUUUCACCCCUUUUUCUUUUAAUAAAAUUUAAUAUUUCAUUUAUUUAAUUCUUUAAUACAAAAGAUAUGAAAUUUCCAUCAUGAAAUAUUUAUUUAACCCAUUAUCAUGAAACAUUUACCUAACCCAUUAUCAUGGAACAUUUACCUAACCCAUUAUCAAUUUGUACCAUGAAUUAUAGAUAUCAAGUGUUCAUAUUGUCUACAACAACAUGAUGGCUGACUACUUCAUAUAAAAUGAGAGGUUUGUCAUGCAAAUCCUUCUAUUUUACACUAUUAUUUAUUUGGCCACUUCAAUUUAGCCUAUAGCAUUUUCAAACAUUUUUACAUAGGUCCUAUUUCAUAAUUUCACUCACAAAUGACAAAAUUAAAACAUAAAAUUUUGUCAACAUUCACAGAAUUCCCGAAAAUUGAAACGUUAAAGCAAACGAAAGAAAAAAUCUUUUCAAAAUCUUAAAGAUAGGAUCUAUUCGAGAAUUGAAGGACGGAGCUCCAGGUUACUAUCACAAGAAAGAAAGGAGGUCUUCAUUAAAUCAAUGCUUCAGGCAAUACCAACCUACGCUAUGUCAUUUUCUCUUUUACUGAAAUCAUUAUGUGAGGAGUUAGAAAAUAUUUUUUGCUAAAUUUUGGUGGCAAAAUGGCUAUGGAAAAAAAAAUACAUUGGUGUCAGUGGAAGCAUGUGUCAUCCUAAAGAAGAGGGAGGGAUAGGUUUCAGAAGUAUAAAUCAAUUUAAUAUAUCAUUAUUAGCAAAGCAAGAUGGAGGAUUUUAAAUACCCCAAACUCUUUAGUUGCGUAAGUACUUAAAGCGAAAUAAUUUCCGAAUGAGGAUUUUUUGAAUUCGCGUUUGGGAAACAAUAGUUCUUAUAUAUGGAAAAGUAUAUGGGCGACAAAGGGCAUCUUGGCAGAAGGACUUUGCUGGAAGGUGGGUAAGGGCACGAAUAUUUCAGUUAUUAAUGAUGCUUGGAUUCCAGAUGCAAGAAAUUUCAGAUUAUCGUCGUUUGCUCAUAAUAUGUGAAAUUAUAAAGUUGCUGAGCUAAUUGAUAAUAAUGACAGAAAAUGGAAGCGGGAGUUGAUUGUCAAUACCUUUCCGGAGGAAGAAGCUGAAAAGAUCUUUCGUAUUCCUUUGGAGAAAGAACCUCAUGACGAUUUUUUGGUCUAGAGCGGUGAACCUUCAGGAGAAUACUCGGUUCGAACACCUAUAAACUAUUACAAAUUUCUGAAGAUCCUAGAGCUUAUGCUUUGCAAACCGACUACAGGAAGUUUUACAAAAAAACUCUAGCUCCUAAAUCUACCUUCAAAAAUUAAGAUUAGCGUCUGGAAAAUAUCAUGGAAUUAUUUGCCUACACGGGUUAACGUGCAGCAAAGGAGGCUAACAAAUAUUGUAAUUUGUCCUCGGUGUGGAAAAUGGGCAGAAACUAUGGAUCACCUUUUUCGCGAAUGUCCUGUUUUAGUGUAAGUUUGGACAGAAUUAUCAAUCCCGAAUUUUUUACAGGAAUCUAAUUUGGAGUUUCUACAGUGGCUCACCUGGGUUUUUACUCAGAACACUCCCUCUCAAUGUAGAAUAUUUUUUUGUGCGCUAUGGGCCAUUUAGGGAGAAAGGAACGCUAGAAUGCAUGAGAAGGUAAGCAGAACUGGGAAAGAAAUAGCUAGCUUUGUCAAUAGUUAUAUUACAAAACUAAAUGGGGUUGAAUAAAGAACCCCCAAAAUUUCGCAGGAAGUUAGAAAAUGGAAUUACCCACCUGGUCAGUAAAUAAAAUCAACUUUGAUGGAGCAUACGAUGGGCAACAUUUUCAAUUGGUUUCGGAGAUUGUGGCUAGAAAUAGCGAAGGGAAUGUUCUUCUAUCUUGUUCAGAAAUUCAUCAAGAAGUGGCCUCCGCCUUCACUCUGAAGCACUCGCUUGUCGCGAAGUAGCCCAAAUGGGAAUAUACAUGCGAUGGCCAAAGAUUGUUAUAGAAGGCGACUCAUUAUCAAUAAUGAAAAAGUGCAAGGCAGAAAAACAAGAUAAAUUGUAGGUAGGAGCAUAUAUACAUGAUAUUCAACAAAUAACAUCUAGAUCUAGAAACUUAGUGUUUGAAUAUAUUCCAAGAUCAGCAAAUGGUUUAGCACAUAUACUAGCAACUGAAUCGUUAAAAAAGGAGGAGGUGUACUUGUUAGAAAGCAUCCCUGGAUAUGCUAAAAACCAGAAAGAAUUUGAUAGAGUGCGAGAACCAGAUUGAAAACGGAUAGAGAAAAAAAGGAAGGAAGGAAAGUUUCAAAUGAGCAGAUCAAUGGUUUUGGUGAUAAAAGCUUUCGUUGGAAAACUUUAACCGUCUUUAAGAAGAAAUGGGAGAUUGAUAGACAAGACGGGCAUCAGUGUUCUUUGAUUGGGCAAAGUUGCGGUGAUAAUUAUGAGCUUCUAGACUAUUCUUAUUUUAUUUUCUUUUUAGAAAUUCUUUUUAAUUCGGGCCAUUUUUUAAUGUUGGGCCUUCUCUUCUGUUUUAGUUCUAUU
rnacentral:lncRNA from 1 species